GAGGAAAAUCCGUCGACUUUAAAAUCGUGAG
rnacentral:tRNA from 1 species